rnacentral:rRNA from 1 species
UACGUAGGGGGCUAGCGUUGUCCGGAAUUAUUGGGCGUAAAGAGCUCGUAGGCGGUCCGGUAAGUCCGCUGUGAAAGUCGGGGGCUCAACCCUCGAAUGCCGGUGAAUACUGUCGGGCUAGAGUGCGGAAGAGGCGAGUGGAAUUCCUGGUGUAGCGGUGAAAUGCGCAGAUAUCAGGAGGAACACCUAUUGCGAAGGCAGCUCGCUGGGACGUAACUGACGCUGAGACGCGAAAGCGUGGGGAGCAAACAGG